UCCCUGGUGGUUCAGUGGUUAGGACUCAGCACUCUCACUGCCGUGGCCUGGGUUCGAUCCCCGGUCAGGGAA